UGCAGUCGAGCGGACCAAUGCUCAUUUCAGCUUUGCUGAUUUGAGCAACGGUUAGCGGCGGACGGGUGAGUAACGCGUGGGCAACCUGCCCUGUGCAGGGGGAUAACACAGCGAAAGCUGUGCUAAUACCCCAUAAGACUACGCUAUCGCAUGAUAGAGUAGUCAAAGCUUUAGCGGCACAGGAUGGGCCCGCGUCUGAUUAGCUAGUUGGUGGGGUAACGGCCUACCAAGGCGACGAUCAGUAGCCGACCUGAGAGGGUGAACGGCCACACUGGAACUGAGACACGGUCCAGACUCCUACGGGAGGCAGCAGUGGGGAAUAUUGCACAAUGGGGGAAACCCUGAUGCAGCAACGCCGCGUGAGCGAAGAAGGCCUUCGGGUCAUAAAGCUCUGUCCUAAGGGAAGAAGUAUGACGGUACCUUAGGAGGAAGCCCCGGCUAACUACGUGCCAGCAGCCGCGGUAAUACGUAGGGGGCGAGCGUUAUCCGGAAUCACUGGGCGUAAAGGGUGCGUAGGCGGCCGAGUAAGCCAGAGGUGAAAGGCUACGGCUUAACCGUAGUAAGCCUUUGGAACUACUUGGCUUGAGUGCAGGAGAGGAGAGUGGAAUUCCUAGUGUAGCGGUGAAAUGCGUAGAUAUUAGGAGGAACACCCAGUGGCGAAGGCGACUCUCUGGACUGUAACUGACGCUGAGGCACGAAAGCGUGGGGAGCAAACAGGAUUAGAUACCCUGGUAGUCCACGCCGUAAACGAUGAGUGCUAGGUGUCGGGGGUUCACACCCUCGGUGCCGGANUAACGCAAUAAGUACUCCGCCUGGGGGAGUACGGUCGCAAGACUGAAACUCAAAGAAUUGACGGGGACCCGCACAGCCAGCGGA
rnacentral:rRNA from 1 species